UCAGCCUGAUACACCAGAGUUGGUUGCACAAGAUGAAAGGAUGAAUUGAGGAGAAAAACUCACUCAAAACGAUCAAGUGUAACAGUACAGAGUACUGUCAUACUUAUAGGCAAACCAAACUACUGAUAUGCUUCAGCUGACGUCACCAAGAUAGUGACAUCUAACGACCUAACAAACUACAAAUACUGUUCUAUACAAACUACUGUUAUGUAACAUCUGAUAAUCACUAAAGUACAAAACAUAAGGAAACUACUGCUUCACGUUCUACUGUUGUAGCCUUAGCACAGAUGUUGAGUCUUCAGUGCUUUCUUCAAAGGUGAUCAGUCUUUGAGAGGGCAGUGCUUGAAUCUUCAGCAGUACUUAGGAGACGGCAGUAGAUAGAGCAACAGAGUUUGUCUUCAGCAGUUGUUAGAUAAUCAUCAGAGUUUGGUUUAUCAGUUGUUGUAUUUGAGCAGCACUUUAAGAUUCAUCAGUUGUUGGAUAACCACUGUCAAGGGGAAAGAUUAGAGCAAACUGCUGCUUAUUAAGUGACCACUGAUGGGAUCCGGUUUUGGCUUUACAUUAUCUGUUCCUCUGUUAGGGUUCAAUCC
rnacentral:lncRNA from 1 species